UACGUAGGGGGCAAGCGUUAUCCGGAUUUACUGGGUGUAAAGGGAGCGUAGACGGUUAUGUAAGUCUGGAGUGAAAGCCCGGGGCCCAACCCCGGGACUGCUUUGGAAACUGUGUAACUGGAGUACAGGAGGGGCAGGCGGAAUUCCUGGUGUAGCGGUGAAAUGCGUAGAUAUCGAGAGGAACACUCGUGGCGAAGGCGGGUUCCUGGACAUUAACUGACGCUGAGGCACGAAGGCCAGGGGAGCGAAAGGG
rnacentral:rRNA from 1 species